AUUCCGGUGAGAACGCCCCAAUCAUACCAUUAUUUGUUUAGGAGCUGGUAUCAGGCACAUAUAGUGUCACACAUCAUAGUGUGCUAUAGCCCAUGACACCUUGCUCAGCCACACCCCCAAGGGACUUCAGCAGUAACUAACAUUGAAACAUAAGCGCAAGCUUGAAUCAGUCAUAGUUAAAAGAGUUGGUCAAUCUCGUGCCAGCCACCGCGGUUAUACGAGUAACACAUAUUAAUACUCUACGGCGUAAAGGGUGAUUAAAAACAAUCUAACACAUACUAAAGUUAAAACCUCAUCAAGCUGUCAUACGCACUUAUGAAUAAAAAGCACAACAACGAAAGUGACUUUACUAUAAAAAGAACUUUUGACCUCACGACAGUUAAGACCCAAACUAGGAUUAGAUACCCUAUUAUGCUUAACCAUAAACCCUGGUAAAACCCAUACCAUUUCACCCGCCCGAGUACUACAAGCGCUAGCUUUAAACCCAAAGGACUUGACGGUGCCUCAAACCCCCCUAGAGGAGCCUGUUCUAUAACCGAUAAUCCUCGUUAAACCUCACCACUCCUUGCCAUUACACCGCCUAUAUACCGCCGUCGUCAGCUCACCCCAUGAGGGGAUAAAAGUAAGCAAAAUGAAUUUAAACCUCCAACACGUCAGGUCGAGGUGUAGCGAAUGAAGUGGAAAGAAAUGGGCUACAUUUCCUUUUAAGAAAAUAAACGAACAGCACAAUGAAAAAUUGCUUAAAGGUGGAUUUAGCAGUAAGAAAACCUUAGAAUACUAUUCUGAAACUGGCUCUGAGGUGCGCACACACCGCCCGUCACUCUCCUCAACAUAAAAUUCCCAAUAUAUAAAUAAACUAUUUCCAAAAGAGGAGACAAGUCGUAACAUGGUAAGUGUACUGGAAAGUGCGCUUGGAAUAAC
rnacentral:ncRNA from 1 species